rnacentral:tRNA from 1 species
GCGGGAAUAGCUCGGUGGCAGCGUGUGAAUUUCCCGAACUGAAGGUCGCGGGUUAAAUCCCGUUUACCGCU